CUGGAGACCCAGCUCAGGAGUCACAGCCGGUUCUGGUCAGUGGGAGGACAAUGGGCUGCAGAGAGAGGACGCGGGUGACCUGACCGGCCAGUUCCAGCCAGAAGGGAACAAAGGACA